UACGUAGGGGGCUAGCGUUGUCCGGAAUCAUUGGGCGUAAAGCGCGUGUAGGCGGUCCGGUAAGUCCGCUGUGAAAGUCGGGGGCUCAACCCUCGGAUGCCGGUGGAUACUGUCGGGCUUGAGUACGGAAGAGGCGAGUGGAAUUCCUGGUGUAGCGGUGAAAUGCGCAGAUAUCAGGAGGAACACCAAUUGCGAAGGCAGCUCGCUGGGACGUUACUGACGCUCAGGCACGAAAGCAUGGGGAGCAAAAGGG
rnacentral:rRNA from 1 species